UGCAAAUGAUGUUUUUUCUCACGAUGGUCUUCCAAGUCCUCUGGGCUCUGACGACAAUGCCUAAUGGCAAUACUGAUGUGGUUGA
rnacentral:snoRNA from 2 species